GAUGAACGCUGACAGAAUGCUUAACACAUGCAAGUCGACUGUGGCGGACGGGUGAGUAACGCGUAAAGAACUUGCCUAACAGAUAGGGACAACAUUUGGAAACGAAUGCUAAUACCUGAUACUGUGAGAGAGCUUUGCGUCCCAUUAGCUAGUUGGAGAGGUAACGGCUCACCAAGGCGAUGAUGGGUAGCCGGCCUGAGAGGGUGAUCGGCCACAAGGGGACUGGGAAGCGGCCCUUACGCCUAUGGGCGGCAUCGGUGGAGUAUAUUGGACAAUGGACCGAAGUCUGAUCCAGCAAUUCUGUGUGCAAGAUGAAGUUUUCGGGAUGUAAGGUGCUUUCAGUUGGGAAGCGGUACCAACAGAAGAAGUGACGGCUAAAUACGUGCCAGCAGCCGCGGUAAUUC
rnacentral:rRNA from 1 species